GGGUCCGGACACACUGAGGAUUGACAGAUAUACGCUCAUGCGUGCUUCGGCGCCGCUGGGCUGAAAGAUGCUAGUUCUUUCAUGAUUAUGUGAUAGGUGGUGCAUGGCCGUUCUUAGUUCGUGGAGUGAUCUGUCUGCUUAAUUGCGUAUCAAUAAUAGAGACCUAGUAUACGCGUGGAUUUCGUGUGGUAGUGACCCCCUGUUUAACGACAGGCGUGUGUCGCACACGCGUACCUACGCACUGGUCUCAGAUAGCAACGAACGUGACCGUAUUCUAUUGUUGCAGUGAAAUGUGCCUUCUGGGUACGACCCACUGCUUAGUAUAUGUACGUGCUUCGGCGCGAACAAUAUACAUUAAACUAUAGAGACCGCUGUUUCUUCUUUAAACCAGAGGAAGGAUACGGCAAUAACAGGUCUGUGAUGCCCUCAGAUGUUCCGGGCUGCACACGUGCUACAAUGAUCAUUGCACUGUGCAUCUAACCCAAUGUGCGUGGACGCCGCAUGCAUGUGUCUUCGGGGUACACGCAUUGCUGUUGCGACCACGCCGAACCUACUUCGAAAGUAAAAUUUCUCAGUGGGU
rnacentral:rRNA from 1 species